ensembl:lncRNA
GUUUUGACUGUCUCCUUAGAUACUGUGUGUCUACUUGGCAUCUAUUAAUCACAGGGCCAAACUAUCAGCCGAAAUAUUUCUCUCUCCUGCCGGUCAGCUUGCCUUAUCUCCUUUCCUGUGCAGACAGGCUCAGCCAAGGCAGAGACCCCACCCUCCUUCUUGUCUAACUUGCGCACACCAGACCGGUAUUGCGCCUGUCCUGAGUCAGCCCAGGCCAGGUACCAGGCACCGGGAGAGCCCAAAGGCCACCAGGCUUGUUUAGCCUAGCCAAUCUGACACUUCACUCUGCUUUGCCUUGCCUUCCGGAGGAAACUCCACUAUAGGCUCCGGCUUGUUCUUCGCUCCUGUCUUCUGCCUCCUGACCACCCUGGUGUUCCCCAUGUGGCCUUGGUGGCAGCAGGUGCCCCUUCUCUCAGGACAUCUAAGUAAUAAAUUCUUCUUUCGAUGGCAGUGACCUCUCCAUGGUGUCACUCAGUCGCCUCCAUAAAUUAAAAUCUCCCGGAUACAAGUGAGACAAUAAGGGAGAAGGAGAAGGGAGAAGACACGGACCAGGGAAAUGGCCACGUGAAGACGGAGGCAGAGACUGGAGUGAUACGAGUGCAGGAGUGUCUGGAGCCAGCAGAAGCUGGAAGAGGUGAGGAAGGACCCUCCCCCCAGCCCAGAGCCUUCAGGGGGAGCGUGGCCUGCAGACGCCUUGAUUUCGGACUUCUGGCCUCGGAAAUCUGUGGGGAUUUGUUAUGGCGGCUCCAGGAAGCUAACAGAGCAUCUACCAGUUGACGACCACUUGUUGAGUCUUUAUUCUUAACACACACUCAGACGCUGUACUACUUGACCCUCCCGACAACGCCUUGUGGUCAGUACUGUCGUCCCCAUUUUACAGAUGAGGGAAGUGCGCCUCAGCCAGGAGAAGAGCUGGGGGUGAGCCAGGCCGUGCCGCCCAAGCCCCUAAGCCCAUAAGCCACUGCGCGAUCGUGUGACCCGAUGGUGCGGAACCGGUACCCUUUUAGAGGAGGGGAGGAUGUUGCUUCCGCAAACCUGUGCAGUCACAUUUGGGCACACCAGUCCCCCCUUCACCCCAAGCCCCUGAUGCCGUCACCUGCUUUCUAUACCUGCUGUGAUGGGCACCGUUCACCAUGGUCCCUGCUCUAGCCGCUGCCACCUCGGGGUGGCCCCUGGACCUGGUCACUCCCUGGCCCCCCACGCCUGCUCCUGGGAGUGUGGCCUGGAGCCUUCGGGACUCUGUGGCCCUGCCUGCAGCCGCACCCCAUGGCCUUGUCCACCUUGAGGCGGGUGGUGCACAUGGGCCCUGCUCUCCAGUGAGACCACCUUGGGGAGACCGGGGAAGGCCCUUGGCGGCCUGAGUCUGUGGCUGGCUGCUCUUCGGACCCUCAGCCCCAACUCUCGGCUCCCAGGGCAGCCUUUCUGGAUAUCAGCAUCCUAGAGGGGGCUCCAGAUUCUGUAUCUUCCCAGAACUCCCACUUCCUGUAUGUUCAACACACUUAAGGAGGUGGAGCACCCUGGGCUCCAUCAGCAGAUGGUACGGGAAUUCUGCUUCGAACAGACACUGGGUUUGUUUGGAAGAAAUAGGUUAAUAAGCCCCAUGGGGUGCGGGCCGAGACCCCAAAGGCAUUCUCAAGUAACAAAGGAUGAUGCUACCCUGCUUUCUAAGGAAGUAGAUGCUGUUAACCUGAGGGCCUUCGCCUGGAAAGAGCUGGGUUUGGGCCAGGAGCCUGGUUGUUCACGGGGGAGACGGGGUGAGGAUUUUGAAGUUACUGGGAAUCGAUUGCCGGAGUUAGAGGCGAGGAGCGAGGCCAGCUAUGCUGCGAGGUGGGGAAAGCUCAGGCUCCCUGCGGUGGAGCGGGUGAGGCUCAGGGAGAACAGAAAUGUCUGCAGGGAAUUUUUCAGUUGUUUGCGCUCAGGUCUCCGAGGUAAACCCCUCUCCUUCAUCGCCAAACAUCAAAAAUCACACCUUGUUUGCUAACGCUUCUGUGAGUGCUGGCGCUGGGGACUGUGGCCCUGGGGGAGUGUUUUGCUUGGAGCAGACCACCCUUGGGGACACAGAGAGCAGGGACAGUGGAGGACGGGCUUGCAAAAUGGCGCUGGGACAAUUGGUGACGUAUUUGGAAAAACAUUGGAUUAGUUUCUCACUUUCACUUCCAGAUAUUAAAGAGCUUGAUGCAAAGAAAGAAAAUGAGAGAGAGAGAUCAAAAGCAGACUAAAAGGAAGUAUUUGAUUUGGGGAAGAAGUAUUUUCGGAAUGUAAAAGCUGGUAAAGAAAUUCCGAAGGGGAAAAUUAGACACAGGUCAAAACCACUCUAAAAAAUGUAAAAGCAAACCACAAACUGGGAAAAAAUAUUUGCUACAAAUACCACAAAGAGUUAAUAUCUAUCCUAUAUAAAGGUCCCAAACAGACUGGUAAGACGCAAUUAGAUACCCAAUAACACAAUAUACAACGGAUGAGACAGACUGUCACUGCACAAUAUGGGGGUUCUCUUGCCUGAUGGGCAUUUAAAAAGCCAGUUAAUUAUGGCAUCGGCGUUUGGAAAAGAAAUCAGCUUUAUUCUGCGAGACUGAUCUGCAGGGAGACAGGUGGUGUGUGCCCUCAGAUCUGUCUCCCCAAUUCCACAUUUGGGGCAAAAUUUAAGAGGCUAGGGAGAAUAGGCUGGCACAUGGAAACGCUGGUGGGACAGGCUUUGCUUGGUGGGCUUCAGACAUUUAUGGUGAGGUUCUGAACACUUAUGGUGAGGUUCUAAACACUUAUGAUGAGGUUCUAAACAUUUUUGAUGAGGUUCUAAGCAUUUUUGAUGAGGUUCUAAGCAUUUUUGAUGAGGUUCUAAGCAUUUUUGAUGAAGUUCUAAGCAUUUACGAUGAGGUUCUAAGCAUUUUUAUGAGAUUCUAAGCAUUUUUGAUGAGGAGGGGAAGGAAUUUUAACAUCAGAUCUUCCUGAAUGAUGGCCCUCUCACUUCUGAUAAGAGUCUGACUUUAAGAAUACCAGCUGAAGGAACGGCUCCCACUGAGGAGGCGUCAGUCUUGUGGCAGAGGACAAGAGCACGUGAACAGGCAGAAACAAGCAAUGGCUCUUAAGCGGCUCUUUGCAAUCUGACAGGUUAUGUCCUCGCACCUGCCACUGGCAAAGGCAGUCACUUGGUCAAGGCUACAGUCAGCAGAGCUGGGUGAACGGUCCUCCCCAGAAAGCACCGAAGGUCACAUGGCCACGGGUGGGGUUAAUCCCCUUUCAGGAAGGGAGAAUGAAUAAUUG